GGCUGAACCAGCAACUUGGAAGAAUGAAUGGCAAUAGCUAAUUGUAUUUCUUACAAUUUGUACAAUAUCGAUUUUGUCGAAUAAAAUUCUAGAUAAAUUUAUGAUGAUGACAUUAUUUAUCUAUGUGUCUUGACUAAAUUACGUGCCAGCAGUCGCGGUAAUACGUAGCAGACUAGUGUUAUUCAUCUUUAAUAGGUUUAAAGCGUACCCAGGCGGUUGAUAUAGCCUACGCAAGGAACUAUAUUUAACUAGAGUUAUAUAUGUAAUGGCGCACUAAAGUACUGUUGAGUGUAGAGAUGAAAUUCUGUCAUACCAGAUGAUUGGCACAGAUUUAGGCGAAAGCAUCGCUUUAUGUAAUAACUGACGUUGGCGGACGAAGGCUUAGCUAACAAACAGGAUUAGAUACCCCAGUAGUCUUUGCAGAAAAUGAUGAAUGUCAUAGGUUAAAUAAUAAAAUUUUGUCUAUAAAUGAAAGUGUAAGCAUUCCACCUCAAGAGUAAUUUGGCAACAUUGGAAUUGAAAUCAUUAGACCGUGUC
rnacentral:rRNA from 1 species